GUGUCAGCAGCCGCGGUAAGACGUAGGAUGCAAGCGUUGUCCGGAAUUAUUGGGCGUAAAGAGUUCGUAGGCGGUUGCCUAAGUCUGAUGUUAAAUACUGGAGCUCAACUCCGGCAUGGCAUUGGAAACUGGGUGGCUAGAGUGCGGUAGAGGUCACAGGAAUUCCAGGUGUAGCGGUGAAAUGCGUAGAUAUCUGGAGGAACACCAGUGGCGAAAGCGUGUGACUGGGCCGCAACUGACGCUGAGGAACGAAAGCCAGGGGAGCGAAAGGGAUUAGAUACCCCUGUAGUCCUGGCCGUAAACGAUGGAUACUAGGUGUAGGAGGAUUCGACCCCUUCUGUGCCGUAGCUAACGCGAUAAGUAUCCCGCCUGGGGAGUACGACCGCAAGGUUGAA
rnacentral:rRNA from 1 species